rnacentral:rRNA from 1 species
AGCGAACGCUGGCGGCAGGCCUAACACAUGCAAGUCGAACGGAUCCUUCGGGAUUAGUGGCGGACGGGUGAGUAACACGUGGGAACGUGCCCUUUGGUUCGGAACAACUCAGGGAAACUUGAGCUAAUACCGGAUGUGCCCUUCGGGGGAAGGAUUUAUCCCCAUUGGAGCGGCCCGCGUCUGAUUAGCUAGUUGGUGCGGGUAAGGCCCACCAAGGCGACUAACAGUAGCUGGCCUGAGAGGAUGAUCAGCCACAUUGGGACUGAGUCACGGCCCAACCUCCUACGGGAGGCAGCAGUGGGGAAUCUUGCGCAAUGGGCGAAAGCCUGACGCAGCCAUGCCGCGUGAAUGAUGAAGGUCUUAGGAUUGUAAAAUUCUUUCACCGGGGACGAUAAUGACGGUACCUGAAGAAUAAGCACCGGCUGACUACGUGCCAGCCGCCGCAGUAACAC